rnacentral:rRNA from 1 species
UACAGAGGGGGGCAAGCGUUGUUCGGAAUUACUGGGCGUAAAGGGCGCGUAGGCGGCCUUCUAAGUCGAACGUGAAAUCCCCGGGCUCAACCCGGGACUGCGUCCGAUACUGGAAGGCUUGAAUCCGGGAGAGGGAUGCGGAAUUCCAGGUGUAGCGGUGAAAUGCGCAGAUAUCAGGAAGAACACCCGUGGCGAAGGCGGCUUUCUGGGACGGUACUGACGCUGAGACGCGAAAGCGUGGGGAGCGAACAGG